CAUGUAUCCCAGAAUUUAAAGUACAAUUAAAAAAAUUAAUAAACAGGAAGGGUAAAAAAUAUAAACAGAGAAAGUUUCUGUUUCAAUUUGAUGAUAUGGUGGUAUCACAUAGACUGAUAAGCCAGGUGCAUAUAAUACCCAGAGGAACUACUGAAAGCUUACACAAAGAGUUUUACUCAAAAACACAUGAUAAAUCAAAAUGUAAUUCUAAAGACUAUUCAAAUAACCCAAAGGAAGGAAGGCAUAUUAGUCUGUUCUCACACUGCUAAUAAAUACAUACCUGAGACUGGGUAAUUUAUAAAGAAAGAGGUUUAAUGAACUCACAGUUCCACAUGGCUGGGGAGGCCUCACAAUCAUGGCAGAAGGCAAGGAGGAGCAAAGUCACGUCUUACACGGCAGCAGGCAAGAGAGUUUGUGUAGGGGAACUCCCCUUAUAAAACCAUCGGAUCUCAUGAGACUUAUUCACUAUCACCAGAACAGCAUGGGAAAGACCUGCCCCCAUGAUUUAAUUAUCUCUCACCGUGUCCCUCCCAGAACAAAUGGAAAUUAUGGAAGCUACAAUUCAAGGUGAGAUUUGGGUGGGGACAGAGCCAAACCAUAUCAGCAGGGAAAAAAAAAAAAAAAAAAGAGGCAGAGGAGAGAAAAUACAGAACAUAGACAGAAAAAAAGGCAGACUUAAAUCCUAACACAUCAGUAAUUAUAUUACAUAAAAAUGGUUUAAAUAUACCAAUUAAAAGACGGAGAUCGUUAGAGUGAAUUAAAGAACAUGGCCCGAUGUUAUGCUAUCUACAGAAAACUCACCUAAAGUGUAAUGAUAUAGGUUAGGUAUUAUAUCGUGAAAGUAAAAAUAUAUCAUGCAAAUAUUAGAUCAAAUUCAAAAUUAGAGUUAGAAAUCCCAAUAUCACUCUCUCAAAAAUUGACAGAAAAACUUGACAGAAAACCAUCAAGAAUAUGUAGAAGCAUAAAUAUAACAAAAAAACCUAUAAAUAGAAACUAAAUAAACCCUUCUAAAUAAUCCAUGAGUCAAAGAAAAGUUCUCAAGGGAGGUUUAAAAAUACCAGGAAUUGGAUAAAAAUGAAAACAGCUAGGCACAGUGGCUCAUGCCUGUGAUCCCAGAGCUUUGGGAGGCUGAGGCAAGAGGAUCACUUGAGCCCGGAAGGUUGAGACCAGCCUGGGAAACACAGUGAGAUCCCUUCUCUAUAAAAAUUUGUAAAAAUGAUUAGCUGGGUGUAGUGGCUUGCACCUAUAGUCCUAGCUACUUGGGAGGCUGAGGCAGAAGGAUCACUUCACUUGAGCCCAGGAGUUGGUGGCUAUGUUCUCAGUGAGCUGGUUGGGCCAUUGCACUCUAGUCUGAGUAACAGUGAGACACUGUCACAAAAAAAAAAAAAAAAAAAAAAAGGUGGGGGGGGGAGGAAAAGAAAAAGAAAAUAUCACAAAAAUGUCAUAUAUCAAAAUUUGUAGGACAAAGCUGAUGCAGUUCUGAGAGGAAAAUUUAUGAAACUAAAUGCAUGCAUUUGAAAAGAGGAAAAGUCUCAAAUGAAUACCCUAUGCUCCCACCUCAAGAACCUUAAAAAAAAACAAAAAACCAGCAAGCAGAAGUAAUAAAGAUAAGAACAAAAAUCAAUGAAAUUGAGAACAGGAGACAAUAGAGAACAAGAGGGAAAAAAAAGUCAAUGAAACAAUGAGCUGGUUCCUUACAAAGUUCAAUAAAAUUGACAAACCUUUACCAAGAUUGACAGAGAAAGAGAGACGGGGCAGGGAACAAGGGAGGGUGAAGAGAAAACACAAUUACCAACGUUAGGAAUGAAGAUAUUCCUAUAGGUCCUGCUGAUAUGAGAAGGAUUUUAAGGGAAGACUGCAAACAACCUUACAAACAUAAAUUUGAUAAUUUAGAAGAUAUGGAACACAAAGUACCAUAACUUACCCAAUGUAAAAUACCUAAUUUAAAUAGCCUUGUAACUAUUCAGAACAAUAGAUGUGUAAUUUUAAAACUUGCAGAACAAAAAUCUCCAGGUCCAAUGGUUUCACUAAUAACUUUUACCAAAUGUUCAAAGAAGAAUUGGUACCAGUUUAUACAAUUUCUUUCAGAAAACAGAAGAAAAUGAAAUAUUUCCCAUUUAUUUUAUUUAGCCUAUUUCAAUACCAAAAACAAUAGACAAUUGUCCCUCAAAAAAACAAAGAAAGAAAGAAAAGAAAGAAAAGAAAAAAAAAAACCGCAGCUUUCUCCUGAGCAUAGAAAACACAUCUUUUUUAAAUAAUUAGCAAAUAGAAUUUAGCAACUUAUAAUAAGAAUUAUGUAACAUGACCAUGUUGCACUUAUUCUAGGGAUACAAAGUUGGUUCAGUAUUUGAAAAUCAAUGUAAUCCAUUAUCUUAACAGGCUGAAGAUAAACAAAAAUCACAGGAUCAUAUCAAUCAAUGAAUAACAAGUAUUUGACAAAAUUCAUUGACCAUUUAUGAUAAAAAUAAACUCAGAAAAAGGAACUAGAAGGGAAUUCCUCAGCUACAAAAAAAAAAAAAAAAAAAACAAAACCCUAUGGCUAGCAUUAUGCUAAAUGGUGAAAGACUGAAAUGUUUUCCAUUUAAGAUGAGAAAUAAGACAAGAAUACCUACUCUCACAAUUCUUAUUCAUCAUAGUACAGGAAGUUCUAUAAUACAAUGAAGAAAAGAAAAUAAAGGCAUAGAGAUUGGAAGCAAAGAAAAAAAGUGUCCGUAUUUGCAGAUAGCAUGGUUGUCAUCAUGAAAAAAAAUCCCAAAGAAUCUACAAAACAAAACAACAAUAAAAGCCCACCUCAAACAACCAACAAGUGAAUUCAGCAAGGUCACAAAAUACAAGAUAAAU
rnacentral:lncRNA from 1 species